rnacentral:rRNA from 1 species
UACGUAGGUGGCAAGCGUUGUCCGGAAUUAUUGGGCGUAAAGCGCGCGCAGGCGGUUCUUUAAGUCUGAUGUGAAAGCCCCGGGCUCAACCUGGGAAUUGCAUUUGAGACUGCGUAGCUAGGGUGCGGAAGAGGGAAGCGGAAUUUCCGGUGUAGCGGUGAAAUGCGUAGAUAUCGGAAGGAACACCAGUGGCGAAAGCGGCUUCCUGGUCCAGCACCGACGUUCAGGCACGAAAGCGUGGGGAGCAAACAGGG